rnacentral:misc_RNA from 1 species
UCUCCGUUGGUGAACCAGCGGAGGGAUCAUUACCGAGUGCAAACUCAUAACCCUUUGUGAACCUAUAUCUGUUGCUUCGGCGGCUCGCUCUCGGGCGAGCCCGCCGGUAAUAUCAGUAUCUCUGUUUGAACCCGACGAUACUUCUGAGUGUUCUUAGCGAACAGUUAAAACUUUUAACAACGGAUCUCUUGGCUCUAACAUCGAUGAAGAACGCAGC